UACGGAGGGGGCUAGCGUUGUUCGGAAUUACUGGGCGUAAAGCGCACGUAGGCGGCUUUGCAAGUUAGAGGUGAAAGCCCAGGGCUUAACUCUGGAAUUGCCUUUAAAACUGCAUCGCUAGAAUUGUGGAGAGGUAAGUGGAAUUCCGAGUGUAGAGGUGAAAUUCGUAGAUAUUCGGAAGAACACCAGUGGCGAAGGCGACUUACUGGACACAUAUUGACGCUGAGGUGCGAAAGCGUGGGGAGCAAACAGG
rnacentral:rRNA from 1 species